UACGUAGGGGGCAAGCGUUGUCCGGAAUCAUUGGGCGUAAAGAGCGUGUAGGCGGGCUUGGUAAGUCCGCUGUGAAAGUCCAGGGCUCAACCCUGGAAUGCCGGUGGAAACUGUCAAGCUUUGAGUCCGGAAGAGGCGAGUGGAAUUCCUGGUGUAGCGGUGAAAAUGCGCAGAUAUCAAGGAGGAACACCGAUGGCGAAGGCAGGUCUCUGGGCCGG
rnacentral:rRNA from 1 species